GCACAGCUGAGGAAUUCAGACUAUUGACCGCCUACUUACAGCCAGUUAUGUGGGAGUCAGAAAGCUGAGGACUGUUCAUGUCUGCUUACAAGGAUGUCCAGUGUGCUCAUGUCCACUUCUGCCACUUGCUCCUCGGUCUAGGGCUCCUGGAAAAUUCCUCUGGAAGUGCAGCUGCAAAAGCCAAGCAUGAGCCAUCACUACACAAAGCUGUAUUGGUGCUUCAAAUCUUCCCCCCCAUCCUGGCCUCCUUCUCCAAUCUGUGCUCGCUGUAGUAUUCUUCAUAGGCCGUGUGCUUCCUCGUUGGGUACGAGGCUCUGGGAUUAAGGCUGGGAAAGGGACGAGUCUCCUAAGGAAAGUGAGUAUUUUGGGUGCCGUUACAAUGGGUGCCUUCUAGAUGCAGUUGUAACUUAGUAAUGGGAGAUGGGUUGAGGGUGGAGCCGUGGGAUAUGGGAGAUGUGAAAUGAAGAGAGUACGCGACAUUGCAGACGGAGAUGCUAAUCCCCCCCAACCUGGAUUUAGUACCAAGGAAAACAAAGUCACACGUCAGUCUACUGCCCUCAUGGGAUGGAAAGCGAGCCAGAGAGUCGAGACUCUGAGCAUUGUUGAUGUCACACAAAAGCCAUCUAUCUGGGAGCCGAGGAGACGCCGCUGUCAGUGAGAUAAGUGUCUGGUUUCAUGAGGGCUCUGCUCACGCCCAACCUGAGUCCAGGUAGGGAAGCCCAGUACGUUAGGGCUGGGUUUGUAUGAAAAGGUUCCUGACUAGCUGUGGUUACGAGGGAGAAAAGUUCCCUAUUUUCAGUGGUUGCUCAUUUCUCUGGCCAGGAACGGUGUGUCCUCCGUAGGGGAAGGUUGGAUUCAGGAGGAUGACUCCAGGUGGUCAGUUGCUUGCUUUCUUCCCGUGUUUUUCUCUCUCUGUCUGUCUUCUCUAGUACAUUGGCCAACACACACCCUCUAUCUCUCUCUCUGUCCUUGCCUUUCCUCAUGUUGUCUCCCUUCGUAAGACACGGGCCGCUGUGUAAUGUGUGCAUCCCCACAGGCUGUGUCUUGGGAGCCAUGGAGAAGUAGGAGGGGACGAAAAUCAUCCAGGGCUGUGACUGUCGGUGUCAUCUCGGUCUCUGUUCAUCGAGUGGGGCUGAUGUAGAUGGGGUUGGAGAGGAAGGCCAGGAUGAGGGCAAGAUUUGAAGCAACAAAUAGAGCUUUAAGUAGUGAUGGCUCAUGCUUGGCUUUUGCAGAUGCGCUUCCAGAGGAAUUUUCCAAGAGCCCUAUCCUGAGGAGAAAGUGGCAGAAGUGGACAUGAGCAGACUGGACAUCCUUGUUAGCAGACAUGAAAAGUCCUCAGCUUUCUGACUCCCGCAUAAUUGGCUUGCCAAGGGAAACUAAAUCAAACGUCAAAGUUUACUCCCCUCGUCGGAUGGAAAGCGAGCGAGAGCAGUGAGCCUGCAAGCAUUGUUGAUGCAAGUUUGGAGCCGUCUACUUGGCAGUGGAGCAGUUGCUACUGUCAGUGAGAUAAGUGUGUGGUUUGGUGAGGGCUCUGCGUAGGGCCCCACUGGCUCCAAGUAGGGAUGCCCCGUUAGCUGGGGCUGGGUUUGUAAGAAAUGGUUCCUAACCAGCUGUGGUUACGAGAGAGACAAGGUCCCCAUUUUCAGGGGCUGCUCAUUUCUCUGCCCAGAUGUGGUGCGUCCUCGGCAGCGGAAGAUUGCAUCCAGGAGGAUGACUCAGGUGGUGAGUUGCUUGCGUUCCUCCCAUUUUUUUUCUCUCUGUCUCUCUCUCUCCUCUAGUGUGUUGGCCAACUUUCUCAGUCUCUUUCCUCUCCUCUCCUCAUGCCGUCUCCCACGGGCAUCCGUUCUAGGUGUGCAUCCUAGCCAGGUCUUGGGAGCCACGGAGAAGUAGGAGCAGACGAAAUCCAUGCGGGGCAGUGGGCGCUAAAGUGGAGAUGUGACUGUCUGUGGUUACUCGGUCUCUGUUCAUCGAGUGGGGCUGAUGUAGAUGGAAUGGGAGACAGAGGCAGGGAUGAGGGCAAGAUUCAACGCACCAAUAGAGCUCUGUGUAGUGAUAGUUAUUGCUUGGUUUUAUUAGUUUGCAGAGGAAUUGUCCAGGACCCUAGCUGGACAGGAAUAUGGCAGAAGUGGACCUGAGCAGUCUGGACAUCCUUCUAAGGAGACAUGAAUAGGCCUCAUGUUUCUGCCUUCUGCAUCGCUGGUUGUGAGUAAGAGGACCGAGGGAAAAGAAGUCACGCCUCAGAGUCUCAAGCCCUCAUGUGAUGGAAAGCGAGCCAGAGCAACGAAACCGUGAGCAUUGUUGAUGCCACGCAAAAGCCGUCCUACUGGGAGGGGAACGGCCGCCACUCUCAGUGAGAUAAGUGUCUGGUUUGGUGAUUGCUGUGUUAACAGCCCACCUUGCUCCUGCUAGGGAUGCCACAUGAGCUGGGGCUGGGUUUGUAAGAAAAUGUUCUUGACUAGCUGUGGUUAUGAGGGGAGCAAGGUCCUCAUUUUCAGGGUCUGCUCAUUUCUCUGGUCAGGAGUGGUGUCUGCUACGCAGCGGAAGGUUGCAUCUAGGAGGAUGACUCCAGGUGGUGAGUUGCUUGCCUUCCUCCCAUGUCUUUCUAUCUGUCUGUCUCUCUCUCUUCUCUAAUGUGUUGGCCAACUUUCUCACUGACUCUCCUCUGCUCUCCUCUCCUCUCCUCUCCUUGUGCCGUCUCCCUUCGUAGGACACGGACAGGCAU